AGCGAACGCUGGCGGCAUGCUUAACACAUGCAAGUCGCACGGGCAGCAAUGUCUGUGGCGGACGGGUGAGUAACGCGUAGGAACGUGUCCUGAGGUGGGGGACAACCCCGGGAAACUGAGGCUAAUACCCCAUAUGUGCUGAGGCCCAAAGCCGAGAGGCGCCUUUGGAGCGGCCUGCGUCCGAUUAGGUAGUUGGUGGGGUAAAGGCCUACCAAGCCUGCGAUCGGUAGCUGGUCUGAGAGGACCGCCAGCCACACUGGGACUGGGGCACGGCCCAGACUACUACAGGAGGCAGCAGUGGGGAAUAUUGGACAAUGGGCGAAAGCCUGAUCCAGCAAUGCCGCGUGGGUGAAGAAGGUCUUCGGAUCGUAAAGCCCUUUCGACGGGGACGAUGAUGACGGUACCCGUAGAAGAAGCCCCGGCUAACUUCGUG
rnacentral:rRNA from 1 species